rnacentral:rRNA from 1 species
UACGUAGGGUGCGAGCGUUAAUCGGAAUUACUGGGCGUAAAGAGUGCGUAGGCGGUUCCGCAAGUCCGCUGUGAAAGCCCCGGGCUUAACCUGGGAAUGGCAGUGGAAACUAUGGGACUUGAAUCUGGCAGAGGGGGGUGGAAUGCCACGUGUAGCAGUGAAAUGCGUAGAGAUGUGGAGGAACACCGAUGGCGAAGGCAGCCCCCUGGGCCGAUACUGACGCUCAGGCACGAAAGCGUGGGGAGCAAACAGG